GGUGAUAGUCCCGUAGUUGACGACGUGUGUUCAGUGAAAUCGAGUAGGGCGGGACACGUGAUAUCCUGUCUGAAUAUGGGGGGACCAUCCUCCAAGGCUAAAUACUACUGACUGACCGAUAGUGAACCAGUACCGUGAGGGAAAGGCGAAAAGAACCCCUGUGAGGGGAGUGAAAUAGAACCUGAAACCGUGUACGUACAAGCAGUAGGAGCAGGCUUUGUCCUGUGACUGCGUACCUUUUGUAUAAUGGGUCAGCGACUUAUAUUCAGUGGCAAGGUUAACCAUCUAGGGGAGCCGUAGGGAAACCGAGUCUUAACUGGGCGUUCAGUCUCUGGAUAUAGACCCGAAACCAGGUGAUCUAGCCAUGGGCAGGUUGAAGGUUGAGUAACAUCAACUGGAGGACCGAACCGACUAAUGUUGAAAAAUUAGCGGAUGACUUGUGGCUAGGGGUGAAAGGCCAAUCAAACCUGGAGAUAGCUGGUUCUCCCCGAAAGCUAUUUAGGUAGCGCCUCGGACGAAUACUACUGGGGGUAGAGCACUGUUAAGGCUAGGGGGUCAUCCCGACUUACCAACCCUUUGCAAACUCCGAAUACCAGUAAGUACUAUCCGGGAGACACACGGCGGGUGCUAACGUCCGUCGUGGAGAGGGAAACAACCCAGACCGCCAGCUAAGGUCCCAAAUUACUACUAAGUGGGAAACGAUGUGGGAAGGCUCAGACAGCCAGGAUGUUGGCUUAGAAGCAGCCAUCAUUUAAAGAAAGCGUAAUAGCUCACUGGUCGAGUCGGCCUGCGCGGAAGAUGUAACGGGGCUAAGUAGUAAACCGAAGCUGCGGCAAUAUACUUUUGUAUAUUGGGUAGGGGAGCGUUCUGUAAGCGGUUGAAGGUGUGUGGUAACGCAUGCUGGACGUAUCAGAAGUGCGAAUGCUGACAUGAGUAACGAUAAAGGGGGUGAAAAACCUCCUCGCCGGAAGACCAAGGGUUCCUGUCCAACGUUAAUCGGGGCAGGGUAAGUCGACCCCUAAGGCGAGGCCGAAAGGCGUAGUCGAUGGGAAACGGGUUAAUAUUCCCGUACUUCUUACAAUUGCGAUGGGGGGACGGAGAAGGCUAGGUGGGCCUGGCGACGGUUGUCCAGGUUCAAGUGCGUAGGCUUAAGA
rnacentral:rRNA from 1 species